rnacentral:sRNA from 1 species
GUUUCAGGGAUAGGCCUCAGGAUGAGGUAAGUGGAUACGCCAGGAUGGUGUUACAAGGAAAGGCUUCAGGACGAGGCAAAAUGGAAAACGCCAGGACGCGUUAAAGGACACCUCCAGGACGGAGAAUGAGAGCCAGACAGGAUGCCUGGUGGAGCAAGAAGUUCAGGACAUACUCAGGGAUUGGGUAGAUUCGCAUCGGGGUGGUGUGAGCAGGACGCAACAGUU